GACGAACGCUGGCGGCGUGGAUUAGGCAUGCAAGUCGAACGGUAUCAUCCUUUCGGGGGUGAGAGAGUGGCGAACUGGUGAGUAACACGUAGGUUAUCUACCCUCAAGACGGGGACAACCCAGGGAAACUUGGGCUAAUACCGGAUGUGAGCAACUUUUAGUUGUUUGAAAGGUGGCGUAAGCUGUCGCUUGGGGAUGAGCCUGCGUCCUAUUAGUUAGUUGGUGAGGUAACGGCUCACCUAGGCAAUGAUAGGUAGGCGGCCUUAACGGGUGGUCGCCCACACUGGGAUUGAGAUACGGCCCAGACUCCUACGGGAGCAGCAGUCGAGAAUAGUCUACAAUGGUCGGAAGACUGAUAGUGCGACGCCGCGUGAACGAUGAAUCCCUUCGGGGUUAAAGUUCUUUUAUAUGUGAGCAGUGCUUCUUAUAUUAACAGUAUGGGGAAGAGAUAUUAGCAUAUGAAUAAGCAACGGCUAACUCCGUGCCAGCAGCCGCGGUAAUA
rnacentral:rRNA from 1 species